rnacentral:rRNA from 1 species
GAGAGAGACAUGCGCGCAUAUCAAUAAGCGGAGGAAAAGAAACUAACAAGGAUUCCCUUAGUAACGGCGAGUGAAGCGGGAAGAGCUCAAAUUUGAAAUCUUCAAGGUUUUACCUUGACGAAUUGUAGUUUAAAGAAGUGUUUUCUGCUGAAGUUUUGGUAAAAGUUCUUUGGAAUAGGACAUCAUAGAGGGUGAGAAUCCCGUAUUUGACCAUUAUUUUCCAGCUUUGUGAUACACUUUCAAAGAGUCGGAUUGUUUGGGAAUGCAGUCCAAAAUGGGUGGUAAAUUUCAUCUAAAGCUAAAUAUUGGCGAGAGACCGAUAGCGAACAAGUACCGUGAGGGAAAGAUGAAAAGAACUUUGAAAAGAGAGUUAAACAGUACGUGAAAUUGUCAAAAGGGAAGCGUUUGACACCAGUGUUGUUUUCUCGAAAAUCAAUUAAAAAUGGCUCGAUUUUGUAUUGCUGAGACCUUAAAAGCUCACUGUACAUUUUUCGUGUCUUUUUUAAUGCACUUUUCGUUUAACAAGUCAACAUCAGUUUCUUUUGUUGUAAAAGGGUCAUUGGAAGGUGGCUUUCUUUUCGGAGAAAGUGUUUAUAGCCUUUGGCCUCUGCAAUCGGAGAGAUUGAGGUCUGCAGCGUAGAUCCUUCGGGGUUAGAUACAUUUGUGCUAAGUUAUAGCCUUUCAUAGACAACUUGUUGACUAUGAUCAGUCAUGUAGCUUACUCGCUUAUGCUAUUUUACCUACGCUUAGGAUGUUGAAGAUGUAGCACAUCAU